UCCGUUGUGGACCAGCGGAGGGAUCAUUA
rnacentral:rRNA from 1 species